rnacentral:tRNA from 1 species
GCCUAGAUAGCUCAGUUGGUUAGAGCAUACGGUUCAUACCCGUAGGGUCGGAAGUUCGAAUCUUCUUCUAGGCACCA